AAUGAGUUUUAAUGGGAUUUUCCUCAGUCUGAACAGGGUUUUCGCCCAUUUUAAUGGGAUGUCCCCGUAGCCGAUGGACAGGAAGGUGAUGGAGAUCAGCCACAUGGCCCCCAGGAAGUUACUGGUCACCUCCUGCUUGUCGUGGUACCUCUCGCAGACCCGCACGGUCCAGGCGGCGAUGAUCCAGGAGGAGAUGCUGAACACCAGCAGCACGGUGCCGGGGCAGAUGGUCAUGAGCGUCUUCAUGACGAAGCGCGUGUUGAAGUUGAUCUUGUUGAGGGCGCCGAUGCUGCGCGACGAGGCGUCGGUGAAGAGCUUGCUGUGCAGCAGCAUCACCCUGCCCAGCAGGUAG
rnacentral:lncRNA from 12 species